rnacentral:lncRNA from 1 species
CUGAAGUCCUGUGGUAGACUGGGCUUCUGGACUGAUUGAUACAGUAGUUCAAUUCACCAAGGACCUGUGUUCUUUUUGUCUUUGCUCUCUGCUACCAGUGGUGUCUACUUUAUUUUCAGGCCGAUUUUUCUCAUAUCUGUACUUACAGGUAGCAAUUGGGAUUAUUUAUUCUCCCAAACUGGAGGGGCGUAGAGUGAGGAGAAACCAGUGAGGAAUUCUGAACAUCCAGGAAUUCUGGGGAAACACCUUUCAGUUGAGACUCAAGAAUGAACCACCAUGAGCAUGCUCGCUCAUCAUGAAUCUCCUCUGUCUUCCCUUCCUGACUCCCUGCAUUGUGAACUUCAAGCUCUGGGAACAAACGCAAAGGUAAUAGAUAGUUUUAGCACAUUCUUCUCUCUACACACCAGACUUGGUCUGUGGGACCAAUACAAUAUGGCAGCAGCAAAGGGAUGCCACUU